rnacentral:rRNA from 1 species
GACGAACGCUGGCGGCGUGCUUAACACAUGCAAGUCGAACGGACAGGCCCUGCUUGCCGGGUACUCGAGUGGCGAACGGGUGAGUAACACGUGGGUGAUCUGCCCUGCACUUCGGGAUAAGCUUGGGAAACUGGGUCUAAUACCGGAUAGGACCGCACUUUAGUGUGUGUGGUGGAAAGUUUUUUCGGUGUAGGAUGAGCUCGCGGCCUAUCAGCUUGUUGGUGGGGUAAUGGCUUACCAAGGCGGCGACGGGUAGCCGGCCUGAGAGGGUGUACGGCCACAGUGGGACCGAGAGAAGGCCCAGACUCCGACGGGAGGCAGAAGGGGGGAAGAUUGCACGAGGGGCGCAAGCCUGAUGCAGCGACGCCGCGGAGGGGAUGAAGGUCUUCGGGUUGUAAAAUACUUUCGCUAGGGACGAAGCUUUUUGUGACGGUACCUAGACAAGAAGCACCGGCUAACUACGUG